UAGUAUUAGAGGUAAAAUGGCCAUAAC
rnacentral:sRNA from 1 species